CUAACAGUAAUUUUGGUUUAGCUGGCGUUCGGUUGAGUGCUUGUUGCACCCAUAGAUGAUUAACAACCGUUGCUUUGCCGUUGCGCUCCGCUGUAUGUGCGAACUGCAUGUGAUGCCUUUGUGGGUGAAUUCUCCCGUUGGCAUGUGAUCGAAUAGAGUGGUGGCUGCCGGAUAGAUGAUGUGUUUUGCACGAUUUGCUGGGGCCUGGAGAGGGCAGGCUGACCCUUCCCGUGUGGUUAUCUCACUGUUCACCAGAGUGGCGUGGAGUUGCCGUGAAUCCUUUGGAGGGUGUGAGUGGUUUGAGGCACGUGUGUGGUUAUCAUUAUUACUAUUAGGGGCAUUCUUGAAGCCCGGUGUCAAGCCUGCCGCCCUAGUGGUAAGCCCCAGCUCUUUUGUUGUGGUGUGUUUUUGUUUUUCUUUUCUUGUUUGUUUUGCAGCAGGUGGUGUUGUUUGCUGUGUGGAAUCUUCUUGCGGUUACAUGUGAUUCAUUGAACGAGACCAUUUUUAAUUAUUUUUGUUUAAUAAAGAUGUACAAGUUUUAUACAAGGUA